GCGGCGGACGGGUGAGUAACACGUGGGUAACCUGCCUGUAAGACUGGGAUAACUCCGGGAAACCGGAGCUAAUACCGGAUAGUUCCUUGAACCGCAUGGUUCAAGGAUGAAAGACGGUUUCGGCUGUCACUUACAGAUGGACCCGCGGCGCAUUAGCUAGUUGGUGGGGUAAUGGCUCACCAAGGCGACGAUGCGUAGCCGACCUGAGAGGGUGAUCGGCCACACUGGGACUGAGACACGGCCCAGACUCCUACGGGAGGCAGCAGUAGGGAAUCUUCCGCAAUGGACGAAAGUCUGACGGAGCAACGCCGCGUGAGUGAUGAAGGUUUUCGGAUCGUAAAGCUCUGUUGUUAGGGAAGAACAAGUGCGAGAGUAACUGCUCGCACCUUGACGGUACCUAACCAGAAAGCCACGGCUAACUACGUGCCAGCAGCCGCGGUAAUACGUAUGUGGCAAGCGUUGUCCGGAAUUAUUGGGCGUAAAGGGCUCGCAGGCGGUUUCUUAAGUCUGAUGUGAAAGCCCCCGGCUCAACCGGGGAGGGUCAUUGGAAACUGGGAAACUUGAGUGCAGAAGAGGAG
rnacentral:rRNA from 1 species